rnacentral:rRNA from 1 species
GACGAACGCUGGCGGCGUGCUUAACACAUGCAAGUCGAACGAUGAAGCUGGAGCUUGCUCCGGUGGAUUAGUGGCGAACGGGUGAGUAACACGUGAGCAAUCUGCCCUUGACUCUGGGAUAACUGCGGGAAACUGUAGCUAAUACCGGAUACGAGGCUCGAAGGCAUCUUCGGGUCUGGAAAGAAUUUCGGUCAAGGAUGAGCUCGCGGCCUAUCAGCUUGUUGGUGAGGUAAUGGCUCACCAAGGCGACGACGGGUAGCCGGCCUGAGAGGGGAACCGGCCACACUGGGACUGAGACACGGCCCAGACUCCUACGGGAGGCAGCAGUGGGGAAUAUUGCACAAUGGGCGAAAGCCUGAUGCAGCAACGCCGCGUGAGGGAUGAAGGCCUUCGUGUUGUAAACCUCUUUUAGCAGGGAAGAAGCGAAAGUGACGGUACCUGCAGAAAAAGCACCGGCUAACUACGUGCCAGCCGCCGCCGUAA